CCCAGAGAGCAGGAACAGGAACAAAUCAAGCUAUUGCAAGAGCUUCCUCUGGGGAGUAAGUGAUUAUAGCAAUCCCCAGAGUGUAGGUAUCCCUUCCCCCAAACAUGAGCCAAGGCUUAAUGCUGGAACAAGACUAAUUUACUGGCACACAGAACUCACAAUUUAUGCAACACAAAACUCCUCCUCUGGGCCAGGCUAGAUAAUUGAGUUUCUACAAUACACAAAGCUCAAUUAUCUGCUGGCCAGAUAUUAUACAGUUUCAUAAAACACACAGGGACCCCAAAACAUGCAAUAACCCCAUAAAAAGUAUAUCCUUGGAACCGGGGGAUCUGGGUGAACCACAUAUCCAAAAUUCACCCAGAUCCGUUCAGUACUUUGGAAAAUACAGUUUAAUGCAGAUUCUGCAGAACAUAUACAGGCUAAAUGAAAAACAAUCACUGUAUAAUGUGUCCCCUGCUGUAUAGUCCAAAACCACUGCAUGAUGUCUCUG